CCAAUAGCGUAUAUUAAAGUUGUUGCAGUUAAAAAGCUCGUAGUUGAAUUUCGGGGUCAGUAGGUCGGUCGUGCCACUGGUAUGAACUGGUUUUACUGAUUCCUCCCUCUUGAAGAACUGUAAUGCCAUUAAUUUGGUGUUGCAGGGAAUCAGGACUGUUACUUUGAAAAAAUUAGAGUGUUUAAAGCAGGCUUUAGAUUGAACACAUUAGCAUGGAAUAAUGAAAUAGGACGUUUGAUCCUAUUUUGUUGGUUUCUAUGAUUGACGUAAUGAUUAAUAGGGAUAGUUGGGGGCAUUAGUAUUCAAUUGUCAGAGGUGAAAUUCUUGGAUUUAUUGAAGACUAACUACUGCGAAAGCAUUUGCCAAGGAUGUUUUCAUUAAUCAAGAACGAAAGUUAGGGGAUCGAAGACGAUCAGAUACCGUCGUAGUCUUAACCAUAAACUAUGCCGACUAGGGAUCGGAUGAUGUUAAUUUUUUAAUGACUCAUUCGGCGCCUUACG
rnacentral:misc_RNA from 1 species